rfam:Alligator sinensis unplaced genomic scaffold scaffold112_1, whole genome shotgun sequence
CCAAGGGUUUUUUUUAAAACCCCAAAAUGUUUUCAAGAAAGGAAAA